GAAAUGCGAUAAGUAAUGUGAAUUGCAGAAUUCAGUGAAUCAUCGAAUCUUUGAACGCACAUUGCACCUUCUGGUAUUCCAGAAGGUAUGCCUGUUCGAGCGUCAUUGCAACCAUCAAGCUUAAGCUUGGUAUUGGAUGCCACUUGUUUGGUGCAUCUCAAAAUUAGUGGCGGUGCCAUUUAGCUUCAAGUGUAGUAAAUUUCUCACUUCUGGAGUGUGUUGUAUCUGCUAGAACCCCCUAAUUUAUCAAGGUUUGACCUCGGAUCAGGUAGGGAUACCCGCUGAACUUAA
rnacentral:misc_RNA from 1 species